AUUGAACGCUGGCGGCAGGCCUAACACAUGCAAGUCGAACGAGUGGCGGACGGGUGAGUAAUGUCUGGGAAACUGCCCGAUGGAGGGGGAUAACUACUGGAAACGGUAGCUCAUACCGCAUAACAUGGGAUGUGGCCAGAUGGGAUUAGCUAGUAGGUGGGGUAACGGCACACCUAGGCGACGAUCCCUAGCUGGUCGGAGAGGAUGACCAGCCACUCUGUAACUGAGACACGUUCCGGCCCCCUACGGGAUGAAGCAGUGUGGAUUAUUGCACAAUGCGAGCAAGCCUGGGGCAGCCAUGCCGCGUGUAUGAAGAAGGCUUUCGGGUUGGAAAGUACUUUCGGCGGGGAGGCGUUGCCCGCAUAAGAAGCACCGGCUAACUCCGUGCCAGCAGCCGCGGUAAUU
rnacentral:rRNA from 1 species